rnacentral:lncRNA from 1 species
UGUGUGUGUGUGUGUGUGUGUGUGUGUGUGUGUGUGUGAGAGAGAGAGAGAGAGAGAGAGAGAGUGAGUGUGUGUGCUUGUGUGUUCGCAGGAAGACCAAUGAUGUCCCUGCAGGAGCUGUGGCUGGUCACCUGGGGGUGGGGGAAAGAUGAGGUGUUCCCCCUCCAUACCUGCAUCCUCACUCUGCUCCACCCAGACCCCCAGCGGCUGGCCUGCUGACCCCCUAGGGUCUCUUUGCCCCUGGCCAUGGCUGCCCUCACCACCUUCUGCCUCUCCAGCCACUCUGGGAUUUUGCUUGUUUGCUGUUUUUGUUUAGUUCAGAUCUAUUUCGUUUGUGGUUUGGAAACUUUCAGACCGAACAGAGAAAAAAAAAAAGAAAGAAAGAAAAAAAAAAUUGAGAGACUAGUGUCCCUGUCCCCAGCCUGCUGCGGAUUUGGUGAAUUCAUGCCCACAGCCCCACCUUGGCCUCCCACUGGAGGCAGAGGGGCCCAGGGAAGUACAGUUAUCUGUAUACAGCCACACUGGGCUAGCGGGGCACUGCUUCCUGGCUUGGGCUCACUGCUCACUGUGGGUACCUGUGAGGUUGGCGGCAGGUAUGGGCCCUGCGUGCCGGGGCCAGGGUAGUUGGCAGGCGUGGAUCUCUGGGGGACCAGAAGCUUAGACUGUCAUGAGGAUGCAGGGAGGGGUUGAGGACAGCCGGUGGGCUUGAAGCUGGCAUUUUAUAAUUAAGUGUGGACUGUGCUCCUGAGGCCACUUACCCAAGUGUCUCCUCUUGGACUCUUGUCCGGGGACUGCCUGCCCACCUACAAAACCUAGCAGCUGCUGAGGUGCCCAGGGACACCCUAACCAACUUGAAAG